rnacentral:lncRNA from 1 species
GCAGGCAGGGUGCGCUCACAUUGGCAGCAGUGGCAUGGUGGGAUGCAUGCACACUGGUGGGGAAGCAGAGGUGAGGUCUGCCUGCACACACACAUGUGAGUAAAAUGAUGUAGGUGUUGCUAUGGAUGAGUGCAUGCUGGAAAAGUGGCAUGAGGGAGGACGCAGUGGGGGAAGGGCAUAGGCAGGCUCAUGCUGGUUGGUGUGGUCUGCUGUGAUGGUCAGGCAUGGUCUGCCAGCACAGGAGCUAUUAUGUGGGCCUCUGGGAGGCACCCCGGUGGGCA